UACGUAGGGGGCAAGCGUUGUCCGGAUUUACUGGGCGUAAAGAGCGCGUAGGCGGAAACGCCAGUCCGGCUUGAAAGCCCCCGGCUCAACCGGGGAGAGUGGCUGGAAACUGCGUUUCUUGAGGGCGAGAGAGGAGGGUGGAAUUCCUGGUGUAGCGGUGAAAUGCGCAGAUAUCAGGAGGAACACCGGUGGCGAAGGCGGAUCUCUGGGCCGUAACUGACGCUGAGGAGCGAAAGCAUGGGGAGCGAACAGG
rnacentral:rRNA from 1 species